UACGUAGGGUGCGAGCGUUAAUCGGAAUUACUGGGCGUAAAGAGUGCGUAGGCGGUUCUUUGUGUCCGCUGUGAAAGCCCCGGGCUUAACCUGGGAACUGCGUCGGAUACUGGAUGGCUUGAAUUCGGGAGAGGGAUGCAGAAUUCCAGGUGUAGCGGUGAAAUGCGUAGAUAUCUGGAGGAAUACCGGUGGCGAAGGCGGCAUCCUGGACCGACAUUGACGCUGAACGGCGAAAGCUAGGGGAGCAAACGGG
rnacentral:rRNA from 1 species